UUGUGGAGAAGGACGCCGAAGGUGGGGCUGAUGACUGGGGUGAAGUCGUAACAAGGUAGCCGUACCGGAAGGUGCGGCUGGAUCACCUCCUAACAGGGAGACAAUAAAUUGAUUGUGAUGUCUAAGUUUUUUAUUCUUAGGCCGCAAUCCUGUCACCUUAAGGUCGAUCGGUACCUCAGAUAUUAGAAUUAAUUUUAUAAUUUGUUCUUUUAUUUCAGUUCCUAAACUUGUCUAGGUCACACCCAACAAAGGUUUCUCCUGGGCCAUUAGCUCAGGUGGUUAGAGCGCACCCCUGAUAAGGGUGAGGUCCCUGGUUCAAGUCCAGGAUGGCCCAUUCGUUGUUGGGGGUAUAGCUCAGUUAGUAGAGCGCCUGCUUUGCAAGCAGGAUGUCAGCGGUUCGAGUCCGCUUACCUCCACUGAAAACUAUCCUGAUAACUAAAUUCUGGAGAAAAAUUUGUAGAUGUGGCUUAGAAUUGUCUGUUGAAAAGAACCUAGCUUCUUAUCAUCUUUUAUAUAGUUGAUAACAUGCUGGGCUCCCAUGGAUUAUUUUCAUGAGAAUUCAGUAGAACCUUGAAAACUGCAUAGAUUAGAAAGAAUAAAGCAUCUCAUGGAUGCAUAAUUCUGUUUUUAUAAUUUAGCCUUAAAACUAAAUUAUUUAUACAAGAAUUCAUGUUUAAUUCUUGAGUAAAAGCCGAGCACAAUUGAUUUUUUGAUUGUAUUAAGGUCAAGCUACAA
rnacentral:misc_RNA from 1 species